AAACCAUGCAUCGGGAAUUUUCUAAUUAAUUCCUUGAAAUGCUUCCAUGCUUCUUAUAAUGUCUCAUCUUCAGAUUACCUGAAUGAUGUAAUGGCAUUCCUCAGCUU
rfam:Gossypium raimondii chromosome 11, whole genome shotgun sequence.